rnacentral:rRNA from 1 species
CACAUGCAAGUCGAACGGAAAGGCCCCUUUGGGGGUACUCGAGUGGCGAACGGGUGAGUAACACGUGAGUAACCUGCCCUUGACUUCGGGAUAACUUCAGGAAACUGGGGCUAAUACCGGAUAGGAAUCCUUGCUGCAUGGUGGGGGUUGGAAAGCUUCGGCGGUUUUGGAUGGACUCGCGGCUUAUCAGCUUGUUGGUGGGGUAGUGGCUUACCAAGGCUUUGACGGGUAGCCGGCCUGAGAGGGCGACCGGCCACAUUGGGACUGAGAUACGGCCCAGACUCCUACGGGAGGCAGCAGUGGGGAAUAUUGCACAAUGGGCGGAAGCCUGAUGCAGCAACGCCGCGUGCGGGAUGACGGCCUUCGGGUUGUAAACCGCUUUCAGCAGGGGCGAAGCUUGUGGUGACGGUACCUGCAGAAGAAGCACCGGCUAACUACGUGCCAGCAGCCGCGGUGAUACGUAGGGUGCGAGCGUUGUCCGGAUUUAUUGGGCGUAAAGAGCUCGUAGGUGGUUGAUUGCGUCGGAAGUGAAAACUUGGGGCUUAACCCUGAGCGUGCUUUCGAUACGGGUUGACUUGAGGAAGGUAGGGGAGAAUGGAAUUCCUGGUGGAGCGGUGGAAUGCGCAGAUAUCAGGAGGAACACCAGUGG